UUUUAAAAUAUUAAAUAAUAAAUUUAUUUUUAAUCUUUAGUAUAUUUAAAUUUUUAACAUAACCUUUUAAUUUUGAUAAAAAAACUCUUCAAAUUUUAAAAAUUUACAAUUUGAAUCACCGCCAUCUUUGUGCCAGCAUGCCGGGCAUGGCAUGUUGUGGGAUGGAGGGCGUUUGGGGAUGCAUUAUAGCACAUGCCAUGACUACGUUUUUCCAUAGGUUGAUGCUUUGUAUCGCACGUAGGUUGAUGCUUUGUAUCGCACGCUUGUUUUAUUUGUUUUCAAAUAUAGUAAAUAAAGAAGGUGGUAUAGGGCUUGGGAAAUUUAGACCCUUUCAAAAUGUAACACCAUGUCAUAUUCCACUUAAGACUUAACUAAAAUGGUAUAUUUUAACAUUAAUCAGUGUAUUUUCCUUAUAACUCCUUUCCCUCAUUUUGAAACUCUAGAAACCAACUACAACUCCCGCUACUUCACCAAACUUGUUGCUAACCCUAGAAAGGUAAUAUGUGAACUUAAAAAACAUGUCAACUACAAGGCCCCUCAUACUUCAAACUCCAUAUCAUCACGCACACGUGCUUCUUACAUGAGCUCAGUCCCAACAAUUUUUUAUAGAGGGCGGAAUUUCACGUAGAUCUAUUGACCUCCAUGACCGAUGAGAACCUAGAACGAAGAUUUUUUUGAUGUCAAGUUAGAAAGCAUGAUGACUGUGGUUUCUUUGAAUGGCUUGAUCUCGAGCUUUUACCAUUACAAAAGAGAUGUUUUGUGAGGCUAAAGGCGCAAAGAGAUAUUUUACAGGAGCAAUUGAGGUGCAAAGCAGCAAUAGAGAACCUAUUGGUUGAAAAACUGACUUUGAAGGAUGCUGAAUUAAGAUGAAGAAUGAGCUUUCUAUUAAGAAUGCUGAAAUGGAUAGGAAGAUUGGCAAACUCCAUAAGAAGAAGAAGUAGUUAAGGGAUGAUAAUAGAAAUUUGAAAGACAAUCUUAAGGCUAUGAAAGUCAUUUCAAGUGUUAUAUGCUGGUAUUAGUUGUUGGUUUAAUAGUGCUAUUCUCACGUUCCUUCCAAAGGAAUGCUAGAGGGGAUAAACUAAUAUUGAAGUAGUUAAAUGUAGUUGUAUUAAAUUUGUAGCCAAAUGUAAGGCACUCAUAUUUAGUUUAUGUAUAUGAGCCACUUGUUCUGUGUAUGUGUA